rnacentral:lncRNA from 1 species
AAAAACAAAAAAAAAGCAGAAGAGGAAUCAAAAACAAAAAUCCUCAGCAAGAACAAAGUCGUGUGACUGCAAACACAAAAAUAGAGAGGCAAGUGACUGUCAUUCCCAAAACCUUAUGGGUUCUCUUACUACCACUCCCAUCAUUCUAAGAGACGAACGUCUGUGUCAAACUAGUUGAACAUAGGACUAAAGGGUAUCAAGGAGAAUGGGCGGGCUAAAUAAACUUUUGAGCCAUAAAUCCUUUGUUUCUUAAACC